rnacentral:rRNA from 1 species
UACAGAGGUCUCAAGCGUUGUUCGGAUUCAUUGGGCGUAAAGGGUGCGUAGGUGGCAGGGUAAGUCGGAUGUGAAAUCCCGGGGCUCAACCUCGGACUGCAUUCGAUACUGCUUUGCUGGGAGUACUGGAGAGGAGAUUGGAAUUUACGGUGUAGCAGUGAAAUGCGUAGAUAUCGGUAAGGAAGACCAGUGGCGAAGGCGGAUCCUCUGGACAGUUACUGACACUGAGGCACGGAAGGCCAGGGGAGCAAACGGG